rnacentral:rRNA from 1 species
GACGAACGCUGGCGGCGUGCCUAAUACAUGCAAGUAGAACGCUGAAGGAAGGAGCUUGCUCUUUCCGGAUGAGUUGCGAACGGGUGAGUAACGCGUAGGUAACCUGCCUGGUAGCGGGGGAUAACUAUUGGAAACGAUAGCUAAUACCGCAUAACAGUAGAUAUCGCAUGAUAUGUGCUUGAAAGGUGCAAUUGCACCACUACCAGAUGGACCUGCGUUGUAUUAGCUAGUUGGUGAGGUAACGGCUCACCAAGGCAACGAUACAUAGCCGACCUGAGAGGGUGAUCGGCCACACUGGGACUGAGACACGGCCCAGACUCCUACGGGAGGCAGCAGUAGGGAAUCUUCGGCAAUGGACGGAAGUCUGACCGAGCAACGCCGCGUGAGUGAAGAAGGUUUUCGGAUCGUAAAGCUCUGUUGUAAGAGAAGAACGAGUGUGAGAGUGGAAAGUUCACACUGUGACGGUAUCUACCAGAAA